UAUGAAAUACUUGCAGAGAAGGGACUGUGUUCUCCUGCUGCUCUUGGUUUGUGGUUUGCCUGCAGCAAAUGCAGCACUUGCUCUAGACAGCCUGGUUAAUUUAUAAGCGUUGGAAAUAGAAUCUUCUGAGGAGCAGUACAGGACAAACUGCUGUAAGUAGUGCUUUCAGAGGAUUCAGUUCAUGUUGCUUGAUAGCCAUGUUUCAGCUGGUGGCAUGUGCUUGGAUGUGACUGAUCUUUUAAAAGCUGGUUGGUGAGGGAUGUUGUCCUAAGCUUGGGGAGCCCAGUGGAGCAGUCAGUGCCUGGCUGCCUGACACUGUAUGCUGACUCAAACAGAAACCCUUUUUUCUUUCCAGAUGUAGGUGACAUAGUCACUGUAGACAUUUGCUCUCCUGCCUCAGCCACAGGGUAGGUACAAGCCCAGCCAGGUCGGUAUCUCACUGCCAUUGCAGACAGACUCUGUGCCAAAUCUAUGUGUAAAGACAUCUCAGUUACUCUGGUCAACAUUCCCAUGUGAAAAGAAUGGGUAGGAUAUUUCAGAGGGAUAACAAUCCACAAGUCAGUGAUCAACGAAGCGUUAAAUGAAGAAUGAUGUGUGCCAUUCGCAGUCUUCACACCUACAAGGAAUCUUUUCAGAGCCUGACUGUGUCGUAUUUCAUCGAGAUACCUGCUGAAUGUGUUCAGAAUAUAAAUGCACAAAAUCCUAUUCCCCUCAGGAGAUAAAGGGCUGUGUGACACCAAACAGCUGAGUGUUUCAGAGCCAAUGGACCUUGAUCCAGUCCCUGGGCCUGCUCCAAUGGAUCUUGAACUGCCCUCUCAUGGGCAUGGCAGAACCCCCACUGCAGAACAGGCAGCCAGGACCACUGGAGGACAAGGUCUGUGUGUGCAAAUCUUGUCCCUCUGUGUGAUGUAGUGGAUCCCUUGGGUCAUUUUUGCUUCCUGGCAAUGCAGCUAUUGCUGAGAGAAGCCUGGCAGCCUGCCCUGCCUGGUGUGCCCCCGCAAAAGCUUUGAAACCAGCAGGAGGGUCUAGCUGCUUUCCCACUGUCAGGGCCUUGCUCUUCCCUGCCACUUCCCCAGCUGUGCAGCUUGGGCCCAAGCAGACCCUCUGCAGAAGGGUUAAAAGUACUGCAGAAGCCAAGCCAAGGAUAUAAAUCAAAGCUGUGUUGAAAGCAUGGGGUUACAGGUGUUUGUCUGGACAGAAAGUUUUGUGCAGGAUACCAGGAUCAUGCACAAGGAAUCUCAUGACCUGAUUUCCAAGCUGUUGGGUCAAUAGUUUCUUUUCUUUGACUGAAAACAUAGGCAGCAUGUGAAUUGGCAGUGGCCUUUCUGUUGGACAGAUGUGUGAUACACAUCGGCACACAGGUAGGCUGUGGCACACUUGGGUCUCAUGUGGAAUAGCUGGUGACUUCUAAGGGAAUUACCUUCUGUUUCAUUGUCAUUGAUAUUAGUGGCUUUGGAUUACUGCUUUCAUGAUAGUUUUAUAGGUUAUUGUGACAAGAAGCCACGGUCUGAGCUCCUUUUUCAUUUGCCUUGACCAUUAUACACAUUCAAAAGAAAAGGCCAUUCAGGUAGGAUACAUCUUAUCCUCCUUGAGCUGCGUGAAGGCCAGGACUCUAGUAAAUGUGUAUGGGUGCUCUCUGUUUCUCCCUCAUCACUGAAGGUAGCCAGAGUGAUUCAUUAGGGAUGUAUGAGAGUGAAUCAUCCAGCAGCACUGUCUGUCUCUGCUGGUGGUGGAGAGAGCCAAGCCUAGGCAUUAACUCUAGGCUAAAGGGGCAUGCUUUUCUUGCUCAGAGCCAAGUGUGAGUUUAAUUUCCAAUUCGCAGUAUUUAGGUGCAAACGAGCAUAAAAAGAGUCUGGAGUGCUGCAUGUCUGCAAAGGCAUCUGUUGCCCACAGAGAGAUCAAUGUGCUGCCGAUGCUUGAGCAUUCUGCAUAUGCCCAGAGCUCCUCUUUGCCACGUCUUCAGUGAGCAUCUCCUGCAUGAUGAGACACAGAGAGGCUCCCUUUUGCUGAAUCUGCAGGGGCAGCUGUGACUUCUGGCAGGAUGUACAUAGACAGCUAGGUUGGACAUAACAUGGAAUCACAGAAUCAUUAGGGUUGGAAGGGGCCUCUGGAGAUCAUCCAAGGCAGGGUCACCCAGCACAGGUGACACAGGAACACAUCCAGGUGGCUUUGGAAUAUCUCCAGAGGGAGACUGCACCUCCUCCCUGGGCAGCCUGUUCCAGUGCUCUGCCACUGUAUCUUAAGGGCUAGUAGAAGCUGCUAGUAGAGUUCAUCUAUCAGAAACCUCACUCCUGGUUUCCUCAUGCCAGCAGCAUAUCCAGGUCAGUUAGAGGCUGGAGAAGAUAAAAGUGUACUGGACUGAAGGUUUGUACCCCUUCCUGUGGGACACAUCAGCACCUCUUAGGUUAGUGUUGCUUCACUCAUACCAGGCAAAGCAAGGGCUACCUCAGAGUUAGAGACCUUUUAUGAUGUUAAGCAUGGUGCCAACAGGCAUUUGUUUUAAAUGAGCGCUGGAACAUAAUUAAAAUGGUAUCUUUACAGUUUCUGGAAGAUCUCUCUCUGGGAGAAGGAGGGCUGCUGUGAGUCUUAUUUCACUGUGAUCAAGUUAUUCCUCCCGGACAGUGUGAAAGACAAAUCGGGGAGUUUUGGAUACCAUCUCUUGAAGAGAAUGAAUCUGGAUUCAGUGCAGCUGGCUGUAGAAAGAUUUCUUUAACUGGGAAGAUAUGACAGGUUGUGAUAUCGGACUGCAGUGAAGCUCCACCUGUGCUGUUCUACCCUUCAUGAGUGAGCAGUGCUGGGCAGUAAAGCAGGCAUGCUCCUGCCCUUUUCAGAAGGCGUGGAGAACACUUGUCCAGUCAUAACUGAAACUAUUCAAGAUGCACAGGCCUGAAAUGUCACCUUAAGUUUCUGUUGGUCUCUGAUGUGGAUCCUGUCUUCUAGCAAACUUUAUGGACAACAGCUUUUGUUACAAGGAGAGAUGGUUUGAUCCUCUCCUUAAUGCAAGCCCCACACCUUCACCUAGAUUCCUUCCUGGGCAGCUGCAGUGGAUCUGAACACCAAGGGAAUUUGACCCACUGGAUUCCUUUCCUUUCUCUGCAGUUGAAUGAAAAGUGUGUGUCUUUUGAAGAACAGCAACUGAAAGAAAUAUUGAUGACUGCCAGAGCAUCUACAGAAAAGGAUAAGAAAAUUACUACAACAGUGGAGACAAAGGGGCUUUGUUAACUCUUUCUAGUAGGUUGUAUAUAUUAAUAGAAACAAGUAAAGUUUUGUAUUUUUUAAGAGAAACACACAAGGCUUUGAACUGUAUUGUUUUAAUUGCAGCUAACUGAAUGAAUUAAGUGGUAAAUUGCACACAGUACUUUGAUUGUCUAACUCUCUGUAUGUGAGGCUUUGGGAACAGUUUGUUAUUAUAAAAGAAUAGUACUAACAAGAAAACAGCCAGCAUGUAAUUGCUGGGUUGAGGGGCAGUUUGGGGAAGGCUGAUACUUAUUUAUAAAUUAUUAAAUAAAAGCACAUAAUAAGUGGAUCAUC